GUAGUUGUGACCUAGUGUUGAAAGUGAUGGACUAGAAAUCCAUCCCUGGGCAGGUUUGAAUCCUGCCAACUACA
rnacentral:tRNA from 1 species